GACGAACGCUGGCGGCGUGCUUAACACAUGCAAGUCGAACGGAAAGGCCCUGCUUUUGUGGGAUGCUCGAGUGGCGAACGGGUGAGUAACACGGGAGUAACCUGCCCUUUACUUUGGGAUAACUUCAGGAAACUGGGGCUAAUACCGGAUAGGAGCUCCUGCUGCAUGGUGGGGGUUGGAAAGUUUCCGCGGUUGGGGAGGGACUCGCGGCUGGUCUGCUUGUUGGUGGGGUAGUGGCUUACCAAGGCUUUGACGGGUAGCCGGCCUGAGAGGGUGACCGGCCACAUUGGGCCUGAGAUACGGCCCAGACUCCUACGGGAGGCAGCAGAGGGGAAUAUUGCACAAUGGGCGGAAGCCUGAUGCAGCAACGCCGCGUGCGGGAUGACGGCCUUCGGGUUGUAAACCGCUUUCGCCUGUGACGAAGCGUGAGUGAUGGUAAUGGGUAAAGAAGCACCGGCUAACUACGUG
rnacentral:rRNA from 1 species